AACGAACGCUGGCGGCAUGCCUAACACAUGCAAGUCGAACGAGACCUUCGGGUCUAGUGGCGCACGGGUGCGUAACGCGUGGGAACCUGCCUUUAGGUUCGGAAUAACUCAGAGAAAUUUGAGCAAAUACCGGAUGAUGUCUUCGGACCAAAGAUUUAUCGCCUUUAGAUGGGCCCGCGUUGGAUUAGCUAGUUGGUGGGGUAAAGGCCUACCAAGGCGACGAUCCAUAGCUGGUCUGAGAGGAUGAUCAGCCACACUGGGACUGAGACACGGCCCAGACUCCUACGGGAGGCAGCAGUGGGGAAUAUUGGACAAUGGGCGAAAGCCUGAUCCAGCAAUGCCGCGUGAGUGAUGAAGGCCUUAGGGUUGUAAAGCUCUUUUACCCGAGAUGAUAAUGACAGUAUCGGGAGAAUAAGCUCCGGCUAACUCCGUG
rnacentral:rRNA from 1 species